GAUGAACGCUAGCGGCAGGCUUAACACAUGCAAGUCGAGGGGUAUAGGUUUUCGGACCUAGAGACCGGCGCACGGGUGCGUAACGCGUAUGCAAUCUACCUUUUGCAGAGGGAUAGCCCAGAGAAAUUUGGAUUAAUACCUCAUAGUAUAACACAAUCGCAUGAUUGAGUUAUUAAAGUCACAACGGCAAAAGAUGAGCAUGCGUCCCAUUAGCUAGAUGGUAAGGUAACGGCUUACCAUGGCUACGAUGGGUAGGGGUCCUGAGAGGGGAGUCCCCCACGCUGCUACUGCGACACGGACCAGACGCCUACGGGAGGCUACAGUGAGGUAUAUUGGUCAAUGGACGCAAGUCUGAACCAGCCAAGCCGGGUGCAGAAUGACGAUCCUGUGGAUUGUAAACUUCUUUUGUACAGGAAGAAAAAGUCCUUCGUGAAGGAACUUGACGGUACUGUAAGAGUAAGAAUCGGCUAACUCCGUGCCAGCCGCCGCGCUAG
rnacentral:rRNA from 1 species